rnacentral:rRNA from 1 species
UACGUAGGGGGCAAGCGUUGUCCGGAUUUAUUGGGCGUAAAGAGCGUGUAGGCGGCCAUGCAGGUCAGCUGUGAAAACUCGAGGCUCAACCUCGAGACGUCGGUUGAAACCGCAUGGCUAGAGUCCGGAAGAGGAGAGUGGAAUUCCCGGUGUAGCGGUGAAAUGCGCAGAUAUCGGGAAGAACACCCGUGGCGAAGGCGGCUCUCUGGGACGGUACUGAUGCUGAGACGCGAAAGCGUGGGGAGCGAACAGG